rnacentral:rRNA from 1 species
AGAGUUUGAUCAUGGCUCAGAACGAACGCUGGCGGCGCGCUUAACACAUGCAAGUCGAACGGUCCCGAUAAAGCCGUAAGGUGAUAUCGGGAUAGUGGCAAACGGGUGAGUAAUACGUGGAUAAUCUACCUUUGAGUGGGGGAUAACUCUACGAAAGUGGAGCUAAUACCGCGUAAGACUACAGAAUCGCAUGAUUCAGUAGUAAAAGGCUUCGGUUUACCGGAGUCGCUUAAGGAUGAGUCCGCGCCUGAUUAGCUAGUUGGUAAGGUAAUAGCUUACCAAGGCAACGAUCAGUAGCCGGCCUGAAAGGGUGUUCGGCCACAUUGGAAUUGAGAUACGGUCCAGACUCCUACGGGAGGCAGCAGUGGGGAAUUUUGCGCAAUGGGGGAAACCCUGACGCAGUGACGCCGCGUGAACGAUGAAGUCCUUCGGGAUGUAAAGUUCUGUCGGGCGGGAAGAAUCUUUCCCCGAUGCAAAUCGGGGAAAAAUGACGGUACCGCCAGAGGAAGCACCGGCUAAUUCCGUGCCAGCAGCCGCGGUAACACGGAGGGUGCAAGCGUUGUUCGGAAUUACUAGGCGUAAAGAGCGUGUAGGUGGUUAGCUAAGUCGGAUGUGAAAAUCCCAAGCUUAACUUGGAACGUGCAUUCGAAACUGGUUAACUUGAGUGUAGGAGAGGAGAGCGGAAUUCCUAGUGUAGCGGUGAAAUGCGUAGAUAUUAGGAAGAACACCGGUGGCGAAGGCGGCUCUCUGGCCUAAAACUGACACUGAGACGCGAAAGCGUGGGUAGCGAACAGGAUUAGAUACCCUGGUAGUCCACGCCGUAAACGAUGGGCAUUAGGUGUAGGAGGUAUCCAAUCCUUCUGUGCCGAAGUUAACGCAUUAAAUGCCCCGCCUGGGGAGUACGACCGCAAGGUUGAAACUCAAA